UCUGGUGUCUUAGGCAUAGAGGAACCACACCAAUCCAUCCCAAACUUGGUGGUUAAACUCUACUACGGUGAUGAUACUGUAGGGGGGGUUCUGCAGAAAAAUAGCUCGACGCCAGGA
rnacentral:rRNA from 1 species